rnacentral:rRNA from 1 species
UACGUAGGCAGCAAGCGUUGUUCGGAGUUACUGGGCGUAAAGGGUGUGUAGGUGGCCUGUUAAGUUCCGUGUGAAAUCUCCCGGCUCAACCGGGAGGGUGCGCGGAAAACUGGCGGGCUAGAGUACGGGAUGGGAGAGUAGAAUUCCUGGUGUAGCGGUGAAAUGCGUAGAUAUCAGGAGGAAUACCGGUGGUGUAGACGGCUCUCUGGACCGUAACUGACACUG